AAGUCGUAACAAGGUUUCCGUAGGUGAACCUGCGGAGGGAUCAUUACCGAGCGAGGGCCUCCGGGUCCGACCUCUCAACCCCAUGUUAUCCGACACUGUUGCCUCGGGGGGCGACCCGGCCCUACGCGGGUGUCGGGGCCCCGGCGGACCGUCAAACGCUGCAUCUGUGCGUCCGAGUCAUUAUGAGAGAUCAAUCAAAAG
rnacentral:misc_RNA from 1 species